rnacentral:tRNA from 1 species
GAUGAGAUGGUUGAGAAAUUAGACAAUAGACUGUAAAUCUUUUUACGGGGAAAUAAUCCUCUCUCGUCA